rnacentral:lncRNA from 1 species
CCUGGCUUCAGAUCCUAAAAUCUUUUGACUGCCCGUGGAGAGGUGCUGAGGCCUAAGCCAGGACUCUCUCCAUCAGCAGUUCUUGCUUUUCCUUCCCUCUCAUACUGGCUUCAGACUCCAAGUCCCAUGUCCACUUGGGAGAGCACAGCUCCUACUGUUCUUCUACUCAGGCUGGUCCAUCUGUCAACCAGAGCACUAAUAUGACUGUUUAUGGCAGCAGCCGUCUUCCUGUUUUAUGCAUCAGACUACCAC